ensembl:lncRNA
CGCUGCUUCAAGGGGGAAUCGUGACACAGGCUGAAGUCAAUGUGGGAUUUGCAAAAUGAUUAUUCAUAAAGGUUGGAGCCGUACUCACUUUAUUUGGACAAUCUUGUGCCUGUGGAUCACAACCUGCUUUACACUUCAGUUCUGUCUUGAUGAUGAAGUAAUUGGGCAGUUUUCCAUAUCACAGCCUGAUUCUCAUGCGUAACUGUGGUUUUUCACGCCUAUAUAACGGUGGGGGAGAUGCAUCAAAUCAUUGAAAUGUCAACUCGAACUGGAGGACACUAUAUAGUGUGAUGCAAUAACAAAACAGAUUAAUCUGUAUUGUCAUAUACUUGUAAUAUAAUAAAAG